UCCAAGCUAGUGAAGGCACAGGUAGAGAGUUCAGCCAUAUCCCUGAUUGUAGCGGUAUUACAGUAAGUAUAUGUACGACCGAAUCGGUCGUACAUAUACUGUAAUACCGCUUAUCGGUCGGACCGAUAAGACUACUGUACUUAUCCAGUUUAAUCGUUCAUGGUUUCAUUGCGUUAUGAAGUUCUGUCCGUUUUACCGGCGUAUAGUUACAUUUUAUAGAAUUCGGUCUUGUUAAAGCUUGCGUCAGCCUUUUUCUCAUGUUUAAGCCUUUUGCUUACAAUCUGUAAUCUAUAUCGUUCAAUUUGCAUAUGGUUUCCGCUUUCGGGUGAGGAACAGCUUGGGACCACCGUGACCUUUUCACAAAUUUUCGGUUUCCCUUACUUCAUGGGCAUGGGCAGUCACCUUUCGGACUGUUUUAUCGUGCAGCGUGGCAACUGGCCACCUUCGCUUCUCGCAUAUUCCAUGGCCGUCGACCUGGUGGAACCAUGGAGAAACGAGAAACGGACUACGACUGGCUUGUCAUAUACGUGGACAAAAUUGCCUUAUCUAAUGUCAUCAGUAGCAGUACCAAGGCCGGAAAAGCAGUUAAAGUAACGGCCGGAGAGCGGAAGAAGAAAAGGUUCUGAAAUGUCGGCCAAGCAUUUUUUAAGUUUUUUACGCGAACUGGACAUGCGGUUAAAGGAUGCUGAAAGAUGCUCUUACGAGUUUUCGAUGCACCGUCUGAAAUACAGCGGGGAAAUGUGGUGUCCGCAACGUCGGCGGUUGUCACCGUUCCAUGUUCUGAUGGUCUUAAAUAAAUUCUUAAUGCUGUUUACUUCGUUUUAUAAUGUUUCCUAAUGUGAUGCUUAUAACUCUGCCUGCUAAAUUGCUAACUAAACCAAUAAAGGUUUUUUUUAAGUACAGUACAAUACUAAUAUGAGCUAUAUACGUUGCAAUUAUUAAAUUUAUUAUGCA